rnacentral:rRNA from 1 species
UGGAUGAUGUGGAUUAAUUCGAUGCAACGCGAAGAACCUUACCUACCCUUGACAUGUCCGGAACUUGCCAGAGAUGGCUUGGUGCCCGAAAGGGAAUCGGAACACAGGUGCUGCAUGGCUGUCGUCAGCUCGUGUCGUGAGAUGUUGGGUUAAGUCCCGCAACGAGCGCAACCCUUAUCAUUAGUUGCUACGCAAGGGCACUCUAAUGAGACUGCCGGUGACAAACCGGAGGAAGGUGGGGAUGACGUCAAGUCCUCAUGGCCCUUAUAGGUGGGGCUACACACGUCAUACAAUGGCCGGUACAGAGGGUAGCCAACCCGCGAGGGGGAGCCAAUCCCACAAAGCCGGUCGUAGUCCGGAUCGCAGUCUGCAACUCGACUGCGUGAAGUCGGAAUCGCUAGUAAUCGCGGAUCAGCAUGUCGCGGUGAAUACGUUCCCGGGUCUU